CACCUCCAUCCCCAGCAUCAGCAGCACCAACACCAUCCCCAGCAUCAGCAGCACCAGAACCACCUCCAGCAUCGUCAACAAAAAGACUGGCUUAUGUCUUGGAUAGAGCCAAAGAUCCAAGUGAGGAUUUACUUCAGCUGAGCCCAGCCCAAACAUUAAAGAGAAGUGACUUUUGGUCUUUGGCCUUUGAUGAGUUAGAGGCAAUGAUUGCUAAUCAGUGCUUUCAGCUCAUAGCUGCACUUGCAGCUUCACAGGGCAAAGAUGUGUUUGCCGUCAACAGUUAUGUGGUGGCCACAUGGUUGCCCCCAUAUAACAAUGAUCCUUGGCCAGCUUUACCUGAUGAUGCUGCAACCAAGGACUUUAUUUUACUUCCCUCAUUGGAGUCAGGGCACUGGAUUAUAUGUAUCCUCAAGCCAAAGUCAAGGGACAUUUUAUUUUUUGACUCCAUGAACCCUGGAGACUUUGAACAUGGGAGUUAUAUUCAGAUUUUCAGGUUUUUACCUGAGGAUAGCACAUUUCAAGUUCUACUGUUCUGUGUUCAUACUAAUAACAUGCAUGUGUUUGGAGUUCAUACUAACACAAAUGAAUGUCUGUGUUCUUAUACAAACCAGCUUUUAUUAUGUAAUAGUCUUUACCACAUUUUAAAUGAACUGGCUAUAAAAUUGUAUUUUUUUUUACAGGUGUGAAGAGUGAUGGAAUAGUACUUUCAUUCGACUUCAUGAACUGAAAUGUGUCGCGCAUUAUGAAAUAAAACUGGCAAGUCACAUUUCACCCGGCCAUUGGAACAUGUCUGUACUGGCAGAUUUUGAGGGUGCCCCUCUUCAGCUAGGAGGAAUUGAUUGUGGGGUAUUCAUGUUGAUGUAUGCACUCCAUGUUACGCUCUCAAAGCCAUUUGAUUUUGCUGCGGUGAGUUUGCUUCAAUUUAUGGUUAUUUGUAAA